CGGGAGGCAGCAGUUAGGAAUCUUCCACAAUGGGCGCAAGCCUGAUGGAGCGACACUGCAUGAGGGACGAAGGCCUUCGGGUCGUAAACCUCUGAACCAGGGACGAUAAUGACGGUACCUGGGUAAUAGCACCGGCUAACUCCGUGCCAGCAGCCGCGGUAAUACGGAGGGUGCGAGCGUUAUCCGGAAUCACUGGGCGUAAAGGGCGCGUGGGCGGUCUGUUAAGUCGGGUGUUAAAGACUGGGGCUCAACCCCAGCAUUGCGCCCGAUACUGGCAGGCUAGACGACUGGAGAGGAAAGUGGAAUUACCAGUGUAGCGGUGAGAUGCGUAGAUACUGGUAGGAACACCAAUGGCGAAGGCAGCUUUCUGGACAGUUGGUGACGCUGAGGCGCGAAAGUGUGGGGAGCAAACCGGAUUAGAUACCCGGGUAGUCCACACCCUAAAC
rnacentral:rRNA from 1 species